GGGAUUGCCUUUUCCCGGCGAGUGAAANGGCAAAAGCUCCAUUUGAAAUCUGGUACCUUCGGUGCCCGAGUUGUAAUUUGUAGAAGGUAACUUUGGGGCUGGUCCUUGUCUAUGUUCCUUGGAACAGGACGUCAUAGAGGGUGAGAAUCCCGUGUGGCGAGGAUCCCAGUUCUUUGUAAAGUGCUUUCGAAGAGUCGAGUUGUUUGGGAAUGCAGCUCUAAGUGGGUGGUAAAUUCCAUCUAAAGCUAAAUAUUGGCGAGAGACCGAUAGCGAACAAGUACAGUGAUGGAAAGAUGAAAAGAACUUUGAAAAGAGAGUGAAAAAGUACGUGAAAUUGUUGAAAGGGAAGGGCAUUUGAUCAGACAUGGUGUUUUGCGCCCUCUGCUCCUUGUGGGUGGGGGAAUCUCGCAGCUCACUGGGCCAGCAUCAGUUUUGGCGGCAGGAUAAAUCUGCAGGAAUGUAGCUUGCCUCGGUAAGUGUUAUAUCCUGUAGAAAUACUGCCAGCUGGGACUGAGGACUGCGACUUUACGUCAAGGAUGCUGGCAUAAUGGUUAUAUGCCGCCCGUCUUGAAACACGGACCAAGGAGUCUAACGUCUAUGCGAGUGUUUGGGUGUAAACCCGUACGCGUAAUGAAAAGUGAACGUAGGUUGGGGCCUCGCAAGAGGUGCACAAUCGA
rnacentral:rRNA from 1 species